UGGGGAAUAUUGCACAAUGGGCGGAAGCCUGAUGCAGCGACGCCGCGUGGGGGAUGACGGCCUUCGGGUUGUAAACUCCUUUCGACAGGGACGAAGCUUUUUGUUGACGGUACCUGUAUAAGAAGCACCGGCUAACUACGUGCCAGCAGCCGCGGUAAUACGUAGGGUGCGAGCGUUGUCCGGAAUUACUGGGCGUAAAGAGCUCGUAGGUGGUUUGUCGCGUCGUCUGUGAAAUUCCGGGGCUUAACUUCGGGCGUGCAGGCGAUACGGGCAUAACUUGAGUGCUGUAGGGGAGACUGGAAUUCCUGGUGUAGCGGUGAAAUGCGCAGAUAUCAGGAGGAACACCGAUGGCGAAGGCAGGUCUCUGGGCAGUUACUGACGCUGAGGAGCGAAAGCAUGGGUAGCAAACAGGAUUAGAUACCCUGGUA
rnacentral:rRNA from 1 species